CAAACUGAAGAUGGCGACCGGCGCACGGGUGAGUAACACGUAUCCAACCUGCCGAUAACUCUGGAAUAGCCUUUCGAAAGAAAGAUUAAUACCGGAUAGUAUACGAAUAUCGCAUGAUAUUUUUUAUUUAAAGAAUUUCGGUUAUCGAUGGGGAUGCGUUCCAUUAGUUUGUUGGCGGGGUAACGGCCCACCAAGACUACGAUGGAUAGGGGUUCUGAGAGGAAGGUCCCCCACAUUGGAACUGAGACACGGUCCAAACUCCUACGGGAGGCAGCAUG
rnacentral:rRNA from 1 species